CAGCCGCCGCGGUAAUACGUAGGGGGCGAGCGUUGUCCGGAAUUACUGGGCGUAAAGGGCGUGUAGGCGGCCUGUUAAGUCAGGGGUGAAAGACCGGGGCUCAACCCCGGGGGUGCCUCUGAAACUGGCGGGCUUGAGUGCUCUAGAGGGCAGUGGAAUUCCCGGUGUAGCAGUGAAAUGCGUAGAGAUCGGGAGGAACACCAGUGGCGAAGGCGGCUGCCUGGGGAGUCACUGACGCUGAGGCGCGAAAGCUAGGGGAGCAAACAGGAUUAGAUACCCUGGUAGUCCUAGCCGUAAACGAUGAGCGCUAUGUGUGAGGGGUAUCGACCCCCUCGUGCAGUAGCUAACGCACUAAGCGCUCCGCCUGGGGAGUAAGGCCGCAAGGUUGAAACUUAAAGGAAUUGGCGGG
rnacentral:rRNA from 1 species